CGAAAUACGUGGGCACCAAUGUGCCCCGGCUUAUCGUCUGUAUUCAUUCCGAGUACUUUUCCCGUUGCUUCCGUGGGGUAUGGCGAUUUGCGCACGUCGCAUUUCCCUUCCUGGGAUGUUUGCAAAAAUUUCCCAGGAGAGACCCUGUGGGAGGGAAGCACUGAACCUCCUUUGCAUACCGAUAGCGUUCAGUCUGAGCUUGUUUUUGAAGAAACAUUA
rnacentral:misc_RNA from 1 species